UACGAAGGGGGCUAGCGUUGCUCGGAUUGACUGGGCGUAAAGGGCGCGUAGGCGGUUCGUACAGUCAGACGUGAAAUUCCUGGGCUCAACCUGGGGGCUGCGUUUGAUACGUGCGGACUUGAGUGCGGAAGAGGGUCGUGGAGCUCCCAGUGUAGAGGUGAAAUUCGUAGAUAUUGGGAAGAACACCGGUGGCGAAGGCGGCGACCUGGUCCGAUACUGACGCUGAGGCGCGAAAGCGUGGGGAGCAAACAGG
rnacentral:rRNA from 1 species